rnacentral:misc_RNA from 1 species
CUUUAGAUGUUUCUCUUCGCCGAUCCUGUGGCUUCUCCUACCCUUGCUAGAUAGAGGGAGUUUCUCUUCCUACUCGAUAAUGAGUCUACUCUCUUUUUGAGAAUCCUCUCUUAGUAGGCUUUGACCGUGUUAGAUCCUUUGUGGUUGCUGCUCUUCUUCGGCUCGUCCAGUUGGUACUGCUUGGACUAUGGGAAGGUGACGACGGUGCUUUUCCUUGACCCAUUUUCUUUCCAGGUGAGUAGGAUUCUUGGUUUGACUUUGGCAUUGGUUAUUGAUAUUUUUAAACUAGACAUUAGAG